GCGGGUAUAGUUUAAUGGCAAAACAUCAGCCUUCCAAGCUGAUUAUGUCGGUUCGAUUCCGUCUACCCGCACCA
rnacentral:tRNA from 1 species